GCCUGGGUGACUUAGUGAAGCUUCUGACUUCAGCUCAGGUCAUGAUCUCACGGUCUGUGGGUUCGAGCCCCACAUCGGGCU
rnacentral:tRNA from 1 species